UAACGCGAAGAACCUUACCUGGGUUUGACAUGGUGGGAAAAGCCACAGAGAUGUGGUGUCCUUUUGGGCCCAUCACAGGUGGUGCAUGGCUGUCGUCAGCUCGUGUCGUGAGAUGUUGGGUUAAGUCCCGCAACGAGCGCAACCCUUGUCCUAUGUUGCCAGCACGUAAUGGUGGGGACUCGUAGGAGACUGCCGGGGUCAACUCGGAGGAAGGUGGGGACGACGUCAAGUCAUCAUGCCCCUUAUGUCCAGGGCUGCAAACAUGCUACAAUGGCCGGUACAAAGGGCUGCGAGACCGCGAGGUUGAGCGAAUCCCAUAAAGCCGGUCUCAGUUCGGAUCGGAGUCUGCAACUCGACUCCGUGAAGCUGGAGUUGCUAGUAAUCCCGGAUCAGCAACGCCGGGGUGAAUACGUUCCCGGGUCUUGUACACACCGA
rnacentral:rRNA from 1 species